rnacentral:rRNA from 1 species
CCCUUAGAUGUUCUGGGCCGCACGCGCGCUACACUGACGGAUUCAACGAGUGAUUCAUUUUCCUUGAUCGAGAGGUCUGGGUAAUCUUAUCAACGUCCGUCGUGAUGGGGCUAGACUAUUGCAAUUAUUAGUCUUCAACGAGGAAUUCCUUGUAAGCGUGAGUCAUCAGCUCGCGUUGAAUACGUCCCUGCCCUUUGUACACACCGCCCGUCGCUCCUACCGAUUGAGCGAUCCGGUGAAAUCUCCGGAUUGCGGCGCGGGGACUGGUCCGCCAGUUUCCAUGCUGUGAGAAGUUGAUUAAACCUUAUCGUUUAGAGGAAGGAGAAGUCGUAACA